AUUGGACGCUGGCGGCAUGCUUUACACAUGCAAGUCGAACGGCAGCGGGGGCUUCGGCCUGCCGGCGAGUGGCGAACGGGUGAGUAAUGCAUCGGGACGUGCCCAUGUCGUGGGGGAUAACUACGCGAAAGCGUGGCCAAUACCGCAUACGCCUCGAGGGGGAAAGCGGGGGAUCUUUCGUGACGUCGCCCGACUGGCUCGGCCGAUGUCGGAUUAGCUAGUUGGUGGGGUAAAGGCCCACCAAGGCGACGAUCCGGAGCUGGUCUGAGAGGAUGAUCAGCCACACUGGGACUGAGACACGGCCCAGACUCCUACGGGAGGCAGCAGUGGGGAAUUUUGGACAAUGGGCGCAAGCCUGAUCCAGCCAUGCCGCGUGAGUGAAGAAGGCCUUCGGGUUGUAAAGCUCUUUCGGCCGGGAAGAAAUCGCACGGGCUAUACCCUGUGUGGAUGACGGUACCGGAAUAAGAAGCACCGGCCAACUACGUGCCAGCCGCCGCAGUAACAC
rnacentral:rRNA from 1 species